rnacentral:misc_RNA from 1 species
AUAUGUGAAGAACACACUCAAACCCUGUCCAUUGGAACGCUACCCUGGCCUGAAUACUAAAAGGGCGCCUCUGUACCGCUACCACGUCGGUCGAACAAUAGCAGCAUCAAUUAAUGCAUCAUAUCAGUCAGUCGUUGGCCUCCACGUCGUCGUCGUCCUUCUUGACGGGCUGGAACCGGGCGUGCUGGUACAGGACGGAGUGCAGCUCGACGGGGGUGGCGGACAGGGACUUGAUGAUGCUCCCGAACCCGUGGCGCGGCGACGACAGCGGCCCGCCCGGCGGCGGCUUGGGCAGGCUCUGCCCCUUGUGCAGGCGCAGGCGGCCGCGCUGCGCCAUCUCCACCUGCUGCCCCAUCAGGUGCGUCAGCCCUUCCUCCUCCUCCUCGUCGUCGCCGUCGUCCCCCGACGCAGCAGCGGCCGCCUCCUCGUCGUCGUCCUUGCUCGCCGGCGCCUUCCGGUACGCCAGAUCAGGAAAUGGAGAGGGUGUGAAGCAACGCGGACGCUGUACGCACCCCGAUGAAGUAGUCCUUGACGAGCAGGGAGUAGAUGCUCCAGACGCCGCCGUUGAGGAAGAGGAAGAAGGAGAGGGAGAAGGGCAUGUACUCCACGCUCCGGGUCUUCACCACCGUCCGCUGCAUGCAUGGAGUUUGAUGUAUGUAUCACCCCAGAUUACUAGUGCUCUAUUGUAAAUGUCAGUUGCUGGUCAUAUAUAUUUUUAUACCAACUAGAAUUAAUCUGUGGUACAUAGACAAUAUAUAUAUAAUGCAUUAUUUUAAG